GCUAACAGCUUGUCAUGGCCACCUAAUGAAUAUUGCUCCCUUCCCAAAGUCCUGGGAGAAUGCCCUGAAGGUCACCAGUAUGAAGAGUUUUGCUUCUCUUCCUAUGACUGAGCCAUUCUUAUGCUCCCAGAUGAAUUAUAACAGAGGCACAACACAUAGUCCCAGACCAUCACAUACGUUCCUCGAUGAUGGAAACGUCCUGAGAAGACUUAACCCCAUGUUCUGAGUCCCAUAAAUAACUCCAUGAGGAAGAGUAAAAAUACAGCUUCUCCAAGAACUGAGAGCAGAGGGGUGUGAUUGGUCAAAGUCAAGCUCCAGUCCCCCACCCCCGCACCAAGAUGUCCACAUCAACUAGUUCAAACUGGAUUCUCCAGGGACCAACCGACAAAGAAAGGCUCUUUGGAUAAAUAGCUUGGUGGCAAACUGACCCCAUGGCCUACGUUCUGAUCCAGCAAACCGCUGGUCGACGGAGGGCCCCAGUCCUUAGGGAAAAGCUGGAAGGAUUUUGCCCUAGUGAGGCUGUGUAAGACCGUUUGCUUGUUCUGAGAAAAGGGUGCUAUGAAUUGGAAACCGUUUGAAGGACUGCUCACCUGCCAGAGCCUUUUGGGGUGAUUUCUGUGAGAUUUCUGAAUGGAGUUAUUCAGCUCCAAGGGACAAAAUUCUGCCUUCAGUUAUGGAUGCACCAUUCUCACUGAC